GCUGGGCAUGGUGGCGUAUGCCUGUAAUCCCAGCUGCUUGGGAGGCUGAGGCAGGAGGAUUGCAAGUUCAAAACCAGCCUCAGCAAAAGCAAGGUGCUAAGCAACUCAGUGAGAUUCUGUCUCUA
rnacentral:sRNA from 1 species